rnacentral:pre_miRNA from 1 species
ACAGGCAUCACCUGGAGAUCUCGUCAAAAUGCAGAUUCUGAUUCAGUAAGUCUGGGGAGGGGGACCCAAGAGUCUACAGCUCUAACAAGCUCCCAGGUGAUGCUGAC